rnacentral:SRP_RNA from 2 species
GCCGGGCAUGGUGGCGUGCGCCUGUAGUCCUAGCAACUUGGGAGGCUGAGGCAGGAGAAUAGCUUGAACCCAGGAGGUGGAAGUUGCAGUGAGCCAAGAUCAUGCCACUGCACUCCAGCCUGGGUGACAGAGCAAGACCCUGUCUCUG